CCUCUUUUGAUCCAAGGGUCACCCAAAUGUCCAAGGUAUUUCCAGGCCUGCUAGCCAAAGCCUGUGGGACUUUCAUUUAUUGCUUCACCACGGUUCCCUUGGACUGAGAGACCACCAGAAUCAGCGGAGGAGAGUUCCUUCAUUUGUUAGGCGAGGUAACAUCAUAAAACCUUUCUGAAGUCGGAGCUGGAAUGUAAGUUAAGGUACUGUCAGGGUGGCGGUACGGAAACCGGGACCCCUGAGUGCCUGAUGAUAAGUGGGAGUCUUCAGCGUGCAGGGUAACCGCACGCUCCCUGGUGUUGAGCACCAGCGUUUGCGUGGCCACAUACCAGAACACUGAUGCAGCUACAGCGGAUCCCAGGAACUAGGAGCUUGGAAAUAAGCAGACCUCCCAGGAGCUGGAUAGGGGGGCUCUACAGCAGACAUGUAUCCAGUACAGAAACAAGGCAAGGUUAGGAUAGUCACCAAACAUGAAAAACAAGACAGAACUAAUAGAACCCAGAACCAGAGAAGGAUAGGAAGCUAAAACACAGAACAUGUACACAAGACAUGAGGGAACAUUAACUAAACAGGGGCAGGACAGGACAGGACUGGGAAUACAAAAUAAAACAAGACAAGAUAUAAUAGGCAAAACAAGAGGAGACAUAACUAAGCAUUAUAUAUGAAAAUCAUGGGGGUUUAGUCACAUUAUAUGAUCAUAUUAUAUGAGUAGGACCUGCCAGAUAUGGGGUACAUUGGCCUGCCACAACGCCAAUGUACCCCAUAUCUGGCAGGUCCUACUCUGCCUAAUGUUCGCUAAAAGAACCAUACUAAACCACAAUAUAGCACCUACCUGCAAGAAAGGGCAGAGACUUGAAACACUGCUGCAGGUCCAGGCUGAAACAAAAGGAAAGUGGAAGACAAACGGGUGUGCAGGGAUGUAUUUACCACAAGGCAAACAAGGCAUUUGCCUAGGGCGGCACUUUCAGGGGGGGCGCCAAAAAAUGCCACCAGAAGCUCCUAGACAAAUGUGUUGCUUGACUUGUGUUCUGGGACUGUCCACCUUACUGUGAGUGAGUGUAGCUGUCAGUGUGUGUCUGUGAGUGAGUGAAAGUGUGUGUGUAUUUCAGUGAGAAUGGGUGUGCCUGUGAAUGUGUGUCAGUGUGUGUAUAUCAUUUUAUGUUUAUCUGAGAGUGUGUGCCUGUCAAUGAGUGGGUGUGUCAGUGUGUGUCUGUCAGUGAAAGUGUGUGUUGGUUAAACAGUGUGUACCAAUGACUGUGUAUCUGUCAGUCAAAAAAGUGGCCUUGACACGAAUUGGGGGGGACAAAUUUAGAUUUUGGGGGUGCCCGAAUUUAGUCGUGCCUAGGGCAGCACAAAUCCAAAAUACACCACUGCGGGUGUGGCCACAUAAAUCAAACAUUUAAAUGAAACCUGGACACUGGGAAAUCCAGGGACGGACUAUAAGAAUGAACCCAGAAACCCAGCAUAAAGAAAAACAGACAUGGGAUAGAAAACCAAAAAACCAAGAAAAACUAAGCAAGAAUUGUAAAAAAGAGUACUGGAUACCAGUAGCCAAAGCCAGACAUCUCCGCAGAACAUGGCAUGAUGUGAGAGGUACGACCAACAGUAGGUUUGCUUUUACAUAGAGAGGUUAGUAGACAUGAAAAAAAU
rnacentral:lncRNA from 1 species